rnacentral:rRNA from 1 species
AUGGCUUCGACUUUCCUCCUUUGUUUGUUCUUGCAGGUUACCAAGAUUUUUGUGAAGCACAAGUGCUCCUCUAUCGGUAGGAUAAAAAGCAGCAUGCCAUCUCAAGGAUGGGUAGCACAGAGGACCGUACCCAUUAUACAGAGUGAACCUACAAUUGGAUGCAAAGAGCUGUUGGAGAAUUUGCAAGAUACAUAUGGCACUACCAUUGAGUAUCAUACGGUGUGGAAAGGCAAAGAUAUAGCACAGAAAGAGAUUUAUGGUAGGAUGAGGCAAAGUUUUCAAUAUUUGUUUAACUUCAAGGCAGAAGUUGAGAAGAGAUCCACAGGCAGCAUUGUAGAGGUUGAUAUGAAGAUGGUUGACGGUAUAGUUCGCUUUAACCGAUUCUUUAUGGCUCUUAAACCUUGCAUUGAUGGCUUUAAAGCUGGUUGUAGACCAUAUCUUAGUAUAGACUCAACUGCAUUCACCGGUAAAUGGAGAGGUCACUUAGCCACUUGUACAGCAUUAGAUGGGCAUAAUUGGAUGUAUCCUGUAGCAUUUGCAUUCAUUGAUGGUGAAACCGACGAAAAUUGGACAUGGUUCAUGUCACAACUCAACAAGGCAUUAGGUCAUGUUUCCCCUCUAGCUAUAUGCACAGAUGCAUGUAAAGGUUUAGAGAAUGCAGUCAAAAAAAUAUUCCAUCAUGCAGAUCAAAGGGAGUGUUUUAGGCAUCUCAUGGCUAACUUCUCUAAAAAGUUCCAGGGAGAUGUGUUUGGCAGAAUGUGGCCAGCUGCUAGGGCAUAUAGGCCACAAGUUUUUAACUACCAUAUGAAUAAAAUCCUAGCAGAAGCACUUGAUGUGCAUGAAUAUCUUUCAAGGUACCACAGCUUAAAAUGGAUGAGAUGCAUGUUUGACCUGUCCAUUAGAUGUGAUUACAUCAACAAUAACCUUGUUGAGUCUUUUAAUGGUUGGAUUAAAGAUUACAAAGAUUUGCCACCUGAUGAGCUAGCUAACACUCUUAGAGAGCUAGUCAUGAAACUUCAUGAGAAAAGGAGAAAGAUUGGAAUGAAACUAAAAGGAAAAAUUAUUCUAGCAAUCAUCCAACAGAUUCAUAAUAGGACGAGGGGACUUAAACAUUUGAAAGUUGGGAAAUCUGGAGUUGCAAGUUGUGAGGUGAGGGACACAAGUAAAUACAACUUGCGACAUGUUGUGAAAACUGACCAAAGCGAGUGCACAUGCUUGGAGUGGCAGCACACAGGGAAGCCUUGUGAGCAUGCACUUGCUUUUUUGCUAGAUAGAAGGAACCCCAGAUGGGAGGAUUAUGUGCAUGACUAUUUCUCUCUAGAGAAGUUUCGGGCAGCAUAUGUUGGAGAGAUUGAGCCAUUGACAGAUAGGUCUCAAUGGCCACAUGUACAAUUUCCAUUUGACAUGGAGGCUACAUUAGACAAGAAAAGAGGUGUUGGAAGGCCUAGAAAGAACAGGUACAAGAGCUUCCUCGAAGGUGGAGAUGGUGGUCCUAAAAAGAAGAAAGAGCCAAAACAGCUAGGCAGCAAGAAUAGAUGCAAAAGAUGCCACAUUUUAGGCCACAGGUAG